rnacentral:rRNA from 1 species
CCUACGGGAGGCAACAGUGGGGAAUUUUGGACAAUGGGGGCAACCCUGAUCCAGCAAUGCCGCGUGAGUGAAGAAGGCCCUCGGGUUGUAAAGCUCUUUUGUCAGGGAAGAAACGGUCUACUCUAAUACAGUGGGCUAAUGACGGUACCUGAAGAAUAAGCACCGGCUAACUACGUGCCAGCAGCCGCGGUAAUACGUAGGGUGCAAGCGUUAAUCGGAAUUACUGGGCGUAAAGCGUGCGCAGGCGGUUUUAUAAGACAGAGGUGAAAUCCCCGGGCUCAACCUGGGAACUGCCUUUGUGACUGUAAGGCUAGAGUGUGUCAGAGGGGGGUAGAAUUCCACGUGUAGCAGUGAAAUGCGUAGAUAUGUGGAGGAAUACCGAUGGCGAAGGCAGCCCCCUGGGAUAACACUGACGCUCAUGCACGAAAGCGUGGGGAGCAAACAGGAUUAGAUACCCUGGUAGUCCACGCCCUAAACGAUGUCUACUAGUUGUCGGGACUUAAUUGUCUUGGUAACGCAGACUACGACGUGAGUAGACCGCCGUCGGGAGGUACGGUCGCGAGAAGUUAAACGUUAAAGGUAAAGUUAGUUACGGUACGUUGAGACGUUGCCGACGGACGACGACGAGGGAGGAGG